GACGAACGCUGGCGGCGUGCCUAACACAUGCAAGUCGAACGGGGUAUUUCUUCGGAGAUACUUAGUGGCGAACGGGUGAGUAACGCGUGAGAAACCUGCCUUUCAGUGGGGGACAACAGUUGGAAACGACUGCUAAUACCGCAUAAUGUCAUUUGGGGGCAUCCCUGAGUGACCAAAGAUUUAUUGCUGAAAGAUGGUCUCGCGUCUGAUUAGCUAGAUGGCGGGGUAACGGCCCACCAUGGCGACGAUCAGUAGCCGGUCUGAGAGGAUGAACGGCCACAUUGGGACUGAGAUACGGCCCAGACUCCUACGGGAGGCAGCAGUGGGGAAUAUUGGGCAAUGGGGGAAACCCUGACCCAGCAACGCCGCGUGAAGGAAGAAGGCCUUCGGGUUGUAAACUUCUUUUACCAGGGACGAACAAAUGACGGUACCUGGAGAAAAAGCAACGGCUAACUACGUGCCAGCAGCCGCCGUAAAAC
rnacentral:rRNA from 1 species